GAUGAAGAACGUAGCGAAAUGCGAUAAGUAAUGUGAAUUGCAGAAUUCAGUGAAUCAUCGAAUCUUUGAACGCACAUUGCGCCCCUUGGUAUUCCGAGGGGCAUGCCUGUUCGAGCGUCAUUAUAACCCCUCAAGCUCAGCUUGGUGUUGGGGCCUGCCGCACGGGCAGCCCUUAAAAUCAGUGGCGGUGCCAUCUGGCUCUAAGCGUAGUAAUUCUUCUCGCUAUAGAGUCCCGGUGGAUGCUUGCCAUUAACCCCCCAUUUUCUAUGGUUGACCUCGGAUCAGGUAGGGAUACCCGCUGAACUUAAGCAUAUCAAUAAGCGGAGGA
rnacentral:misc_RNA from 1 species